rnacentral:rRNA from 1 species
AUGUGGAGGAACACCAGUGGCGAAGGCGACUCUCUGGUCUGUAACUGACGCUGAGGAGCGAAAGCGUGGGGAGCGAACAGGAUUAGAUACCCUGGUAGUCCACGCCGUAAACGAUGAGUGCUAAGUGUUAGGGGGUUUCCGCCCCUUAGUGCUGCAGCUAACGCAUUAAGCACUCCGCCUGGGGAGUACGGUCGCAAGACUGAAACUCAAAGGAAUUGACGGGGGCCCGCACAAGCGGUGGAGCAUGUGGUUUAAUUCGAAGCAACGCGAAGAACCUUACCAGGUCUUGACAUCCUCUGACAACCCUAGAGAUAGGGCUUUCCCUUCGGGGACAGAGUGACAGGUGGUGCAUGGUUGUCGUCAGCUCGUGUCGUGAGAUGUUGGGUUAAGUCCCGCAACGAGCGCAACCCUUGAUCUUAGUUGCCAGCAUUUAGUUGGGCACUCUAAGGUGACUGCCGGUGACAAACCGGAGGAAGGUGGGGGAUGACGUCAAAUCAUCAUGCCCCUUAUGACCUGGGCUACACACGUGCUACAAUGGACAGAACAAAGGGCUGCAAGACCGCAAGGUUUAGCCAAUCCCAUAAAUCUGUUCUCAGUUCGGAUCGCAGUCUGCAACUCGACUGCGUGAAGCUGGAAUCGCUAGUAAUCG